rnacentral:snRNA from 1 species
AAUAUAGCACGUAUUCUAAAAUUGGAGUGAUACAGAGAAGAUUAGCAUGGUCUCUGCACAAGGAUGAUAUGCAAAUUCAUGAAGCUUUCUACAUUAAA